rnacentral:rRNA from 1 species
AGAUAAUAGAUACCCUGGUAGUCCCAGCAGUAAACGGUGCGCGUUUGGUGUGAGCAGAUUCGACUCUGUUCGCGCCGGAGCUAACGCGUUAAACGCGCCGCCUGGGAAGUACGAUCGCAAGAUUAGAACUCAAAGAAAUUGACGGGGGCCCGCACAAGCGGUGGAGUAUGUGGCUUAAUUCGAUGCAACGCGAAGAACCUUACCUGGGUUUGACAUGCAUCUCUAAGGAGGUGAAAGCUUCCGAGGGUAGCAAUACCCGAUUUGCACAGGUGCUGCAUGGCUGUCGUCAGCUCGUGUCGUGAGAUGUUGGGUUAAGUCCCGCAACGAGCGCAACCCUUGUAUGCUGUUGCUAUGCUUACGCAUAGCUCUCUGCGUAGACUGCCCCGUGAAACGGGGAGGAAGGUGGGGAUGACGUCAAGUCAGCAUGGCCCUUACACCCAGGGCUGCACACGUACUACAAUGCUCAGUACAAUUAGAACCUGCCCCGCGAGGGUUGGGAAAUCAGCG